rnacentral:tRNA from 1 species
UGGGGCGUAGCUCAGUCGGCAGAGCAGCUGGCUGUUAACCAGCUUGUCGGGGGUUCAAGUCCCUCCACCCCAGCCA